rnacentral:rRNA from 1 species
GAUGAACGCUGGCGGCGUGCUUAACGCAUGCAAGUCGAACGGAAAGGCCCUGCUUUUGUGGGGUGCUCGAGUGGCGAACGGGUGAGUAACACGUGAGUAACCUGCCCUUGUCUUUGGGAUAACUUCAGGAAACUGGGGCUAAUACCGGAUAGGAUCUACUGCUGCAUGGUGGGGGUUGGAAAGUUUCGGCGGUUGGGGAUGGGUUAGCGGCGUAUCGGCUUGUUGGUGGGGUAGUGGCUUACCAAGGCUUUCACGGGUACCCGGCCUGAGAGGGUGAGCGGCGACACAGGGACUGACGGACGGCCCAGGCUGCUACGGGAGGCAGCAGUGGGGAAUACUGCAGAAUGGGCGGAAGCCGGAUGCAGCAGCGCCGCGUGCGGGAUGACGGCCUUCGGGGUGUAAACCGAUUUCGCCUGUGACGAAGCGUGUGUGACGGUAAUGGGUAAAGAAGCACCGGCUAACUACGGG